rnacentral:rRNA from 1 species
AUGAAAGUGAACCAUCGUGAUAGGCUUCUGAAUAUGGGCGACAUCACUGCUCCGGCCGGCCGCUCAAAUGCCUCCUCAAUUAAUCUUAUAGAAUCGUGUGGGACAGUGGGAAUUAACUCCAAUGCUAUGAUGACAAUCCAGACAAAGUUUGCGGUGAAGAGAAACUGGGUGGGUGAUCCGUGCGCCCCUAUAUCUUUUGCAUGGUAUGGUUUGGAUUGCAGUUACAUUCCCGGUGGUCCCCCAAGAAUAACUGCCCUAAACUUGUCAUCCAGUGGGUUGGUUGGUGAAAUAGAUGCUUCCUUUGGCCAGCUAACAUUGCUCCAACGCUUGGGUCGUCUUGGAGCUUACCAGUGCGUUGGCCCAUACACGAACUGA